rnacentral:rRNA from 1 species
GCAAGUCGAGGGGCAUCAUGGCGGUCGCUUGCGACCGCUGAUGGCGACCGGCGCACGGGUGCGUAACGCGUAUCGAACCUGCCGCAUACCCGGGGCUAGCCUUGCGAAAGCAAGAUUAAUACUCGAUGUUCUCACUGUUCCGCAUGAUACGGUGAGCAAAGAGUUUCGGUAUGCGAUGGCGAUGCGGCCCAUUAGCUAGUUGGCGGGGUAACGGCCCACCAAGGCUCCGAUGGGUAGGGGUUCUGAGAGGGAGGUC